AAUUUAGCACGCCGUCAACAAAUUUAACAGAAAAAUUUGACGUUGUUUAUUGUUAGCGUUAAGUGAAACAACGUCGUUUUACAUGAUUUGAAAAAAAAAAAUAGACCCUUCGAUUCGAACUCGGGUUGGGACAAAUUGCAAGGUAUUUUACCACUAGGCUUGUGGCACUUUCACUGGAGUCACUAACACAUUUGGUACUGUUUGAAUAUAAAAAAAAUCUCUAAAAACUUUAAAAGAUCUUUAAAAUUCCAAAAAAUUAAAAAAAUAAAAAAAAUAUAAUAUUAAUUUUGAAAUUAAAAUUAAAAAUAAAUUUUUAUUUUUUCUUUAAAAAACCAAAAAUCUUCCAAAAUUUUCAAUUUUUUUAAACAAUUGCUAAAAAUUGAAAUUAAUUAUACACACAUAAAAAGAUAUCCACAUAUUAAAAUUAAAUUAAAAUGCUUAAAAUAAAUACUGUACCCA
rnacentral:lncRNA from 1 species